GAAAAGGGUAACAGAUAGAGAAGUGUGUGGAGUUAAAGACUUAAGGGGAGCAUUUAUAGAAGAAAAGGAAAUGGUGAGGAAUCUCUAGAGAGUGCAGAGAGAGUGAUGGUGUUGGUGUGACUUGUCAACUCAACCGCAAAAUAAGCUUCAAAUUCUCACUGGAGGACUCAGUUUAUAUUUAUUUAACUCAUUUGAUUUGAAUGGUUCCGAGUGCUUGCUUGUCUGUCAGAUAAAGGAUAGCUUUCAGAAUGGGGGUUUUCUCAAAAGCUGCAAUCCAUACAAGCAAAAAGAUGUCGACACGAC